rnacentral:other from 1 species
GGCUCUCUGCCUUGCAGGUGAGGUCGCAAGACCCCGGCGGUAUAGUUUUUCGAAUGGGGCUGUUUCAACGAUGCUGUGUGCCAGCCCGCCCCGAAGCGGGACGCCUGACGCAUUGGUAAACGGACCCACCUUGUUGGGAGUCGCCAGAGGCUCCGAGGCCCACGGCAAAGGCGGAGAGCGA